rnacentral:rRNA from 1 species
UACGUAGGGUGCGAGUGUUAAUCGGAAUUACUGGGCGUAAAGCGUGCGCAGGUGGCGCGUUAAGACAGGUGUGAAAGCCCCGAGCUUAACUUGGGAAUUGCGUUUGUGACUGGCGUGCUGGAGUGUGGCAGAGGGAGGUGGAAUUCCACGUGUAGCAGUGAAAUGCGUAGAGAUGUGGAGGAACACCGAUGGCGAAGGCAGCCUCCUGGGCCAGCACUGACGCUCAUGCACGAAAGCGUGGGGAGCAAACGGG